UUCCGGUUGAUCCUGCCGGAGAUCACUGCUAUUGGGGUCCGACUAAGCCAUGCGAGUCGCCUGUUAAGCCCUCGGCAAACGGCUCAGUAACACGUGGGUAACCUACCCUCAGGACAGGGAUAACCCCGGAAAACUGGGGAUAAUACCUGAUAGGUGGAUAUGUCUGGAACGGCUUUCCGCUCAAAUGGUCCGGCGCCUGAGGAUGGGCCUGCGACCGAUUAGGUUGUUGGCGGUGUAAUGGACCACCAAGCCUGCGAUCGGUACGGGCGUUGAGAGACGUAGCCCGGAGAUGGGGACUGAGACACGGCCCCAGGCCCUACGGGGCGCAGCAGGCGCGAAAACUCCGCAAUACACGAAAGUGUGACGGGGGGACCCCAAGUGCUCUCGCGCAAGCAGUGCUUUUGUGAAGUGCAAAUAGCUUCACGAAUAAGAGCUGGGUAAGAUCCGGUGCCAGCCGCCGCGGUAACACCGGCAGCUCGAGUGGUGAUCAGUAUUAUUGGGCCUAAAGCGUCCGUAGCCGGUUCUGUAAGUCCUUGGGCAAAUCCUGCCGCUUAACGGUAGGAAUUCUGAGGAUACUGCAAGACUUGAGGCCGAGAGAGGUCGGAGGUACUUCUAGGGUAGCGGUGAAAUGCUAUAAUCCUAGGGGGACCACCAGUGGCGAAAGCGUCCGACCAGAGCGGGCCUGACGGUAAGGGACGAAAGCCAGGGGAGCGAACCGGAUUAGACACCCGGGUAGUCCCAGCCGUAAACGAUGCGGGCUAGGUGUUGGGGUGGCUACGAGCCACUUCAGUGCCGCAGGGAAGCCGUUAAGCCCGCCGCCUGGGGAGUACGGCCGCAAGGCUGAAACUUAAAGGAAUUGGCGGGGGAGCACCACAAGGCGUGAAGCUUGCGGUUCAAUUGGAUUCAACGCCGGA
rnacentral:rRNA from 1 species